GACGAACGCUGGCGGCGUGCUUAACACAUGCAAGUCGAACGGAAAGGCCCUGCUUUUGUGGGGUGCUCGAGUGGCGAACGGGUGAGUAACACGUGAGUAACCUGCCCUUGACUUUGGGAUAACUUCAGGAAACUGGGGCUAAUACCGGAUAGGAGCUCCUGCUGCAUGGUGGGGGUUGGAAAGUUUCGGCGGUUGGGGAUGGACUCGCGGCUUAUCAGCUUGUUGGUGGGGUAGUGGCUUACCAAGGCUUUGACGGGUAGCCGGCCUGAGAGGGUGACCGGCCACAUUGGGACUGAGAUACGGCCCAGACUCCUACGGGAGGAAGCAGUGGGGAAUAUGGAAAAAUGGGCGGAAGCCUGAUGCAGCAACGCCGCGUGCGGGAUGACGGCCUUCGGGUUGUAAACCGCUUUCGCCUGUGACGAAGCGUGAGUGACGGUAAUGGGUAAAGAAGCACCGGCUAACUACGUG
rnacentral:rRNA from 1 species